CAGCCGCCGCGGUAAUACGUAGGGGGCUAGCGUUGUCCGGAAUUACUGGGCGUAAAGGGCGCGCAGGCGGCUGGAUAAGUCACACGUGAAAUGCACUGGCUUAACCAGUGAAGGUCGUGUGAAACUGUCUGGCUUGAGUGCAGUAGAGGAAAGUGGAAUUCCUAGUGUAGCGGUGAUAUGCGUAGAUAUUAGGAGGAACACCAGUGGCGAAGGCGGCUUUCUGGGCUGCAACUGACGCUGAGGCGCGAAAGCUGGGGGAGCGAACGGGAUUAGAUACCCCGGUAGUCCCAGCCGUAAACGAUGAUCACUAGGUGUAGGAGGUAUCGACCCCUUCUGUGCCGAAGCAAACGCAUUAAGUGAUCCGCCUGGGGAGUACGUCCGCAAGGAUGAAACUCAAAGGAAUUGACGGGGGCCCGCACAAGCGGUGGAGCAUGUGGUUUAAUUCGAUGCAACGCGAAGAACCUUACCAGGGUUUGACAUGUAAGCAAAAGCCUGAGGAAACUUAGGUUAUCAUCUUCGGAUGAGGUUUACACAGGUGGUGCAUGGCC
rnacentral:rRNA from 1 species